rnacentral:rRNA from 1 species
GCAUAACGCGAAGAACCUUACCUACACUUGACAUACCUCUUGGGACUUUCAGAGAUGAUUGUUUUCGGUUCGGCCGGGGAGAGUACAGGUGCUGCAUGGCUGUCGUCAGCUCGUGUCGUGAGAUGUUGGGUUAAGUCCCGCAACGAGCGCAACCCUUAUCGUAUGUUGCCAGCAUUUAGUUGGGCACUCAUGCGAGACUGCCGGUGAUAAGCCGGAGGAAGGCGGGGACGACGUCAAGUCAUCAUGGCCCUUACGAGUAGGGCUACAAACGUGCUGCAAUGGUGGUGACAGUGAGCAGCCACUCCGCAAGGAGGAGCUAAUCUCUAAAAGCCAUCUCAGUUCAGAUUGUCCUCUGCAACUCGAGGGCAUGAAGUUGGAAUCGCUAGUAAUCGUGGAUCAGCAUGCCACGGUGAAUACGUUCCCGGGUCUUGUACACACCGAGGUCGGU